rnacentral:rRNA from 1 species
AGACCCGAAACCCGGUGAUCUAGCCAUGGGCAGGUUGAAGGUUGGGUAACACUAACUGGAGGACCGAACCGACUAAUGUUGAAAAAUUAGCGGAUGACCUGUGGCUGGGGGUGAAAGGCCAAUCAAACCGGGAGAUAGCUGGUUCUCCCCGAAAGCUAUUUAGGUAGCGCCUCGUGAAUUCAUCUCCGGGGGUAGAGCACUGUUUCGGCUAGGGGGCCAUCCCGGCUUACCAACCCGAUGCAAACUGCGAAUACCGGAGAAUGUUAUCACGGGAGACACACGGCGGGUGCUAACGUCCGUCGUGAAGAGGGAAACAACCCAGACCGCCAGCUAAGGUCCCAAAGUCAUGGUUAAGUGGGAAACGAUGUGGGAAGGCCCAGACAGCCAGGAUGUUGGCUUAGAAGCAGCCAUCAUUUAAAGAAAGCGUAAUAGCUCACUGGUCGAGUCGGCCUGCGCGGAAGAUGUAACGGGGCUAAACCAUGCACCGAAGCUGCGGCAGCGACACUAUGUGUUGUUGGGUAGGGGAGCGUUCUGUAAGCCUGUGAAGGUGGCCUGUGAGGGUGGCUGGAGGUAUCAGAAGUGCGAAUGCUGACAUAAGUAACGAUAAAGCGGGUGAAAA